rnacentral:rRNA from 1 species
UACGAAGGGGGCUAGCGUUGCUCGGAAUUACUGGGCGUAAAGGGCGCGUAGGCGGCCGAUCAAGUCAGGCGUGAAAUUCCCGGGCUCAACCUGGGGGCUGCGCUUGAUACUGAUUGGCUUGAAUGCGGGAGAGGAUAGUGGAAUUCCCAGUGUAGAGGUGAAAUUCGUAGAUAUUGGGAAGAACACCAGUGGCGAAGGCGGCUAUCUGGCCCGUUAUUGACGCUGAGGCGCGAAAGCGUGGGGAGCAAACAGG